rnacentral:lncRNA from 1 species
ACCAAUCCAUUGAACAAAAAGAUACAUUCUCCCUUUUCCCACAACAAAGAUCCAGUUCCCAUUAAUCUCUUUAUCUACCUUAUGAUUUUUAUUUCUUUUCAAGUAUAUAUAGAAUCCCUAUUUAAGAUUUUAACCGUAAUGAUUAGGACUUUAUCUUGUAACUUGAUAUUUUAUAACUAACCUAAUGCAAUGUACCUUAUAUAAAAGAAUAAAAAAGUAGCAGUGGAAAACAUGUCAGCUCAUAUAUAUAAAUACAAAUUGCAACAAUUCAUAUGGGCAUUCUUAUCAUUUUUUUCUCUCCUCUCUCCCUCCUUCUUCCUUCUCCUCCUUUUCAUUUUCUCCUUCUCCUUUUUCUUCAUCUUCUUUCUCUUCUUUUUCUUCUUCUUGUUUGUCUUCUUCCCCCUCUCUCUUUAUUCUCUCCCCAACAGGAUGUGUUCCUUGCCAUCAGUCAACACCAUUUAUUUAUAUGGUAUCUUACCUCGUGAUGAAAGGAGAUAAGCUAUGAGGACGCAAAGGCAUAAGAAUGAUACAAUGGACUCUGCGGACUUGAGGGGGAAGAAUGGGAGCGAAGGAGGGAUAAAAGACUACAAAUAUGGUGCAGUAUAUACUGAUCAGGUGAUGGGUGCACCCAAAUCUCACAAAUCACCACUAAAGAUCUUACUCAUGUAACCGAAGACCACUUGUACCCCAAUAACUUAUG